rnacentral:lncRNA from 1 species
UGGAGACAUGAACUGAAUCUAGAAUGUUAACACUUUACCUGUUUAAUAACAUGAUGGAAGACACACUGAGUCAGACAGUAUACAGAGAAGUACCACAUGGAGAAUGAUAGUUUCAUAUAGUUCAUGAAAAACCCUGUAGAAGCCUUGUCAGUCUGUGGGACAAACGUUGCAUUGUGUUGCUAAUCUGUUCGCAUGUGUGUGUGUGGCCCUUAUGUGAGUGCAUGUAGUGUUUGUGUAGUGUGUGGGGUGUAUGGAUGUGUGUCUGUGCCUGGGUGUGACAUUGUGGCCAGCCGGGUGCUGCUCCCCUCCUACACUGGUGGUUGUGUGUGUGCGCGUGUCUGACAGGUGUUUUGUGUGUAUGCCAGACUCCUUUGUGAGCGGUGUGUGUGUGGUGUGUGGUGUGUGUGUGUGUGUGUGUGUGUGUGGUGAGAGUCAUAGUGCCCAGCUGAGUGCUGCUCUCCUCCCACUCUCUGUGUUAAGCUGGGCUCCAGUGAGACAGUCUGGUCAGUCUGGUGUUUGAAAGAGGAAUGAACUCACCAUCACAGAAAUCUCCUACUCCCACCGUGUUACACUACCCAGGACAGGACUCUCCUACUCCACAGUGUUACACUACCCAGGACAGACCUCUCCUACUCCACAGUGUUACACUACCCAGGACGGACUCUCCUACUCCACAGUGUUACUCUACCCAGGACAGACCUCUCCUACUCCACAGUGUUACUCUACCCAGGACAGACCUCUCCUACUCCACAGUUGUUACACUUCCCAGGACAGGACUCUUCAUUCUGUCCACUGGUGCAGAGCCGCAGAGUACUCUGGGGUUUGAAUAGAAUAUUGUUGUUGCUGUUGACACGUCUGAGGAUGUGGAAGAGGAGACCAUCACUGUUUCUACCAUAAGACACAGAACUACAGGUUAUUCAACCAAGAGGAAAGAGACAGAUCCAUUCCUGCAACAAUCCCGGGACGUACAAGAACACGUUAUCAAGGGGAACUUCUGUCACCUGUAAUCAUUGUUUUGGAGAAGAGAGGAGAUUUGACGCCAUCUUGACAACACUCAUCAUCUAGUGAAAACCAGGGAAAACACACCGGGCCCAGUUGAACAGAACUGUU